rnacentral:lncRNA from 1 species
GAGAAGAUGAGCGUUUAAGCGAUAAACAAAUCAUAAAAACAAUAUUGCGCAGCCCCCAAGUUUCGAGCUCGAUAAAAAGGGAUCAAAAUUUAGGGUGAAAACUGGGGUGAAAUAUAUUAAGUGCUAAACAAUAUGAAUUUUAUCCACUAUUUGAUUAAAACAAAAAAUAGAAGAUAUAUAGCUUAUUAUGGGAAGAAGCAUCAUAGAUACUUGAUGUUCCACAAGUUUGGCAUGUCUGUGCUGUCUUCCCUCAUCAGCCGGUAGGAGCCCGGCCGAGUGACUUCCUUGACAAUGAAUGGCCUGUCCCAUGGAGCCGCCAGCUUGUGCAUGUCCUUCUUGCGUCGGAGC